AGACUGCUGGGCUGACCACAUCAUGUGGUCUGACCACAGACUGUGUGGGUUGGACGGGUUUAAAACAGUCCAACAUGGCGGCGGCAGAAUGAAGCCAUGAGGGAAUCUGUUACUACGGCGUGUUCUAUUGAGUGUCACCUCUUGGUACUAUAUU